UCGGUAUCAAGUGCGAAGUUGAGGGAUCGAAGGAGCCAGGACCACAAGGGCUUCACAGCUUCACAGCGAAGGAAAAGGCACCACAUGAAGAAUUUUAUCUUCAUUGGAAUGUUGGAUUUCCAUAUGAUUUCUAGAAGCUUUGCUCGAGGGUCCCCAGGGGUUUGGUCGAACUGACGAGAAAUGAAAUUUUUGGCAGAGGCGAUGGAGAAAGAUUUGUUGCUGUCAGGAAUCCAGGUAGUCUUACUUGACCCUCUAUUAGUUCUCGGAAUAGGAAGGAUCUCUAAAAUUUUCUCCCAGGUGCAUCUUUCUCUAAAUAUAAUGAAAUGCCAAAAUAUUUACUGUCCAUGUAACAAAAUCAAAAAGUUCAUGAAGUCGGCCAAUUUUUUAAAUA